rnacentral:rRNA from 1 species
UACGUAGGGUGCAAGCGUUGUCCGGAAUUAUUGGGCGUAAAGGGCUCGUAGGCGGUCCAUCGCGUCGGGAGUGAAAAGCUGGGGCUUAACCCCAGUCCUGCUUCCGAUACGGGCAGGCUAGAGUUCGGUAGGGGAGACUGGAAUUCCUGGUGUAGCGGUGAAAUGCGCAGAUAUCAGGAGGAACACCGAUGGCGAAGGCAGGUCUCUGGGCAUUAACUGACGUGAGGAGCGAAAGCAUGGGGAGCGAACAGGA